AGGUUAUAUUUUUCGUGAUAGAGUAGCGUACUUGAUUAGGCAAGCUUGUCUAUUGGUAAUGUUGUUAUAUCAACCUCCAUAUUUUGCCUUAGAAAUCCUAUUCUUAUCAAAGAGUAUCUCAUGUGCCGCCACUUCCUAAUCGAAGUUUCAGAAUCGUAUUCAUGGGCAGUCUAACAGACAACAAAAUGUGAUGUAAACAUUACUUUGCGUGGAUUUUUUUUUUCUUAAUAAAAUAUUUCACUGUAUUGAUAAGCUCAAAAGAAUUACACAAAAAUGGAGGACAAGCGCGCUACAAGUCCUUUCUGAAUAGCAAAACCAAUCCUUCUGAAAACAUAUUCAUUCGACCCAGCAGUCAAGACAUUGCUAUCCAUGAUUUGUACCCUCCUGAGGAGCUCAACCGUUUCUGAUGCCACAAACCCGAACGUGUCGAAGGCAAACAGGAUGAAACCAUGCUGGUUUGUCUUAAACGCUCGAAAAAAAGUUUUUUUUUUUUUUUUUUUUUUUUGAUAAAUAAAAAGUAUUCCUUGAUAUAAAGCAUUAGCAGUUGCAUUAAGAAGAAAAUGAACAAGAGCUAGCUAGUAACUAAUCCUAAACUCCCCACCCACAAAGAAAGGUACCCCCUUUAAAAUGUUAUUUUCUUCAUAAGUGACGCGGUGGAAGUUAGGGUAUUGAAGACUAUGUGGUAGUUUAGUCCCACAUAGCUUAGAUAUAAAGUCUAUGUGGUUUCUCCCUAUAAUAUAAAGAGUUAGCUUCUUUGUAAGUUUAACCUAAUUAUUAUCAAUAUCAUUCAUCUUUUAUAUUUCUAGUUGGUAUCACAGCCAAGUUAGGUCAUGGUUUUCGGCCACCGACAACACUAACUCACAUGCCGGUGGCCGGAUCUCCGACAAAGUCUUUUUGUCAAAUUUGUGUUUUUUGUUUCUGCUGUUCUUCUGCACCUUGUGCUGCUGCGUCAUCGUAUAUUUUUCACGAUACUGUUCACAGAUCACUGUUCAUAGAGUAUUGUUUAUAAUUUAUAAUGACUUCUAAAUAAACAUUAACCCAAAUAGGAAACCAAUUGGUGUUGGUAGGAUGUCCUACAUCAGUCCCCCAUCUUCAAAAGAAUUCGUCCUCGAAUUUAUGUUGUAUUGAUAUCGUCCGCUCUAUAAGAAAAAAUAUUUUGAAUAACACGAACUCUUGUAAACUUUCCUCAUAUUAAUGUAAGUUAUAGUUCCGUCUUUUGAUUCAAAACCUUGAACUUAGAGAACAAAAAGAACUUUUUGUGAUAAUAUAUGAUCAAUUCCAAUAAAAUCAUAAUGAUGAACAUCUAGAGUCAAUGAAUCUUUCGCAGCGAUUUCAACUUUAUGAUAUUUGUCUUUAAUAAAAAUUGGUUUUUCUUUAUCAAUUUUUGCCACAAUAUUUGAAGAAUCUUCCUUCAAACUCGGUGGCUCUCCAUUAUAACAUUUUUCUUCUUCAAGACAAACAUGAUUUGUUCGUGGAAUAAAUGUGGUUGAAAGUGGGGUUUGACUUUGAGAUUGAGAGGGAGAAGCAAUGGUGGUAUAGGUUGUGGCAACUUGUGGAGUAAUGGAAAGGUGAGAUGGUUGGGAGGUAUUACAAGGUUGUGAAUAUUGGUAGUUGUAAUAUUGGGGGUGUAAGGCUAGGUUUUGUAAUGGUUGAGGGUUGACAUUAAUAAAGGGAGAUGAGAAACCAAUAUAGGAAACUUGUUGUAAAGUUGUGGUGGUGGUGGAAAAUUGUGGUGAUAUGGGUGGUUGGGUGGUGGUUGAGAUAGAGUGGCCAUGAAAGAGGGUGGGAGGAUGGGAGGACCAAAUCGAAGAGUAAGAUUGUCGAUUAAAGCGGUGAGACGAUCAAUAGCCGAAAUGAAUUCAACCUUCGUCAUAUAAUCUCCAAGAUUUCCAACUUGGGGGCGAGGUGAAGAAUCUCCGUCAUUAACCAUUGUUGUAGGAUCAAAACGAAGCUUUGAUACCAAUUGACAUAGCGGAAGUGAUUAAAAAUCAAACCUUGAAUAACCCAAGGGGAGGAUUGCCUUGAAACAAAGAAGAACUAAAACAAAACUAAAGAAAAUAAAUUGUAGAGACAAAUCUUAAAUGUAUUGAUUGAAUAAUUGAAUAAUUAUGUUUUUGGCUCUACAAGGUUUGUCCCUUUAUAUAAACAUAAAGAUCUAAAUCAACUAGCACUAGGAAUUCCUAAAACAAAGAAAUUAAAAUAGAAAUCCUAAAAUUAUAAUUUAUAAUGACUUCUAAAUAAACAUUAACCCAAAUUGGAAACCAAUUGGUGUUGGUAGGAUGUCCUACAUCAAGUUUAGUCUCACAUAGCUUAGAUAUAAAGUCUAUGUGGUUUCUCUCUAUAUAUAGAGAGAGUUAGCUUCUUGUACGGUUAACCUAAUUAUUAUCAAUAUCAUUCAUCUUUUAUAUUUCUAGUGAUUAGGCAAGCUUGUCUAUUUGUAAUGUUGUUAUAUCAACCUCCAUAUUUUGCCUUAGAAAUCCUAUUCUUAUCAAAGAGUAUCUCAUGUGCCGCCUCUUCCUAAUCGAAGUUUCAGAAUCGUAUUCAUGGGCAGUCUAACAGACAACAAAAUGUGAUGUAAACAUUACUUGGCAUGGAUUCUUUUUUUCUUUUCUCUUCUUUUUUUUAAUCAAAAACAAAUAUUAUUGAUAAAAGAAGAAUUACAUAAAGCUAGAGGACAAGUGCGCUACAAACUGCGCUUGAUAAAUAAAAAGUAUUCCUUGAUAUAAAGCAUUAGCAGUUGCAUUAAGAAGAAAAUGAACAAGAGCUAGCUAGUAACUAAUCCUAAACUCCCC
rnacentral:lncRNA from 1 species